rnacentral:rRNA from 1 species
GACGAACGCUGGCGGCGUGCUUAACACAUGCAAGUCGAACGGAAAGGCCCUGCUUUUGUGGUGUUCUCGAGUGGCGAACGUGUGAGUAACACGUGAGUAACCUUCCCUUGACUUUGGGAUAACUUCAGGAAACUGGGUCUAAUACCGGAUAGGAUCUCCUUCUGCCUUGUGGGGUGUGGAAAUUUUGGGCGGUGGGGUGUGGACUCGCGGCUUAUCCGUUUGUGGGUGGGGUUGUGGCUUACCAAGGCUUUGACGGGUAGCCGGCCUGAGAGGGUGACCGGCAACAUUGGGACUGAGAUACGGCCAAGACUCCUAGGGGAGGCAGCAGUGGGGAAUUUUGAAAAAUGGGGGGAAGCCUGAUGCAGCAACGCCGCGUGCGGGAUGACGGCCUUCGGGUUGUAAACCGCUUUCGCCUGUGACGAAGCGUGAGUGACGGUAAUGGGUAAAGAAGCACCGGCUAACUACGUG